rnacentral:ncRNA from 1 species
AAUAAAUAAGGGCACAGUAGAGGAAACUCUAUGUCGCAAAGCUACGGGUCUAAGGGCGGGUAGCGCCUAAGAUUGCCGAGUUGCUAAA